rnacentral:rRNA from 1 species
UACGGGGGGGGCAAGCGUUGUUCGGAAUUACUGGGCGUAAAGGGCUCGUAGGUGGCCAACUAAGUCAGACGUGAAAUCCCUCGGCUUAACCGGGGAACUGCGUCUGAUACUGGAUGGCUCGAGUUCGGAAGAGGUGAGUGGAAUUCCUGGUGUAGCGGUGAAAUGCGCAGAUAUCAGGAGGAACACCAAUGGCGAAGGCAGCUCACUGGGACGAUACUGACGCUGAGACGCGAAAGCGUGGGGAGCAAACAGG